CUGCAGCCAAUUAAGCUGACUGUGUUCUUUCCCCGCGGGGCCCCAGUGUGAAAUGGCCGCAUACAGUAGCCUCUUUGGUAGUGUAUGCAGCCUGUUGAUUGUAUGAGUUGCCCUAAGAGACCUUGGGGACGGCC
ensembl:snoRNA SNORA70 Small nucleolar RNA SNORA70